UCUGAUGGAUCUGAUGGAUCCGAUGGAUCUGAUGGAUCUGAUGGAUCCGAUGGAUCUGAUCCAUCGGAUCCAUCAGAUCCAUCAGAUCCAUCGGAUCCAUCAGAUCCAUCGGAUC
rnacentral:miRNA from 1 species